UACAGAGGGUGCGAGCGUUAAUCGGAAUUACUGGGCGUAAAGCGUGCGUAGACGGCUAUCUAAGUCGGGUGUGAAAGCCCCGGGCUCAACCUGGGAAUUGCAUUCGAGACUGAAUAGCUAGGGUACGGUAGAGGGAAGUGGAAUUUCCGGUGUAGCGGUGAAAUGCGUUGAUAUCAUCAGGAACACCGGAGGCGAAGGCGGCUCACUGGGGAUUUUCUGACGCUGAGGAACGAAAGCCAGGGGAGCGAACGGG
rnacentral:rRNA from 1 species